rnacentral:rRNA from 1 species
AGAGUUUGAUCCUGGCUCAGGAUGAACGCUGGCGGCGUGCCUAAUACAUGCAAGUCGAACGCGGGCACUUGUGCCCGAGUGGCGAACGGGUGAGUAAUACAUAAGUAACCUGGCCUUUACAGGGGGAUAACUGCUGGAAACGGCAGCUAAGACCGCAUAGUAGGGACACUGCAUGGCGACCGUAUUAAAAGUGCUGCAAGGCACUGGUAGAGGAUGGACUUAUGGCGCAUUAGCUGGUUGGUGAGGUAACGGCUCACCAAGGCGACGAUGCGUAGCCGACCUGAGAGGGUGACCGGCCACACUGGGACUGAGACACGGCCCAGACCCCUACGGGAGGCAGCAGUAGGGAAUUUUCGGCAAUGGGGGAACCCUGACCGAGCAACGCCGCGUGAAGGAAGAAGGAAUUCGUUCUGUAAACUUCUGUUAUAAAGGAAGAAAGACGGAUGGAGGAAAUGACAUCCGAGUGACGGUACUUUAUGAGAAAGCCACGGCUAACUACGUG